GACGAACGCUGGCGGUGUGCUUAACACAUGCAAGUCGAACGGUAAGGCCCUUUCGGGGGUACACGAGUGGCGAACGGGUGAGUAACACGUGAGUAACCUGCCCUCAUCUCUGGGAUAACAGUCGGAAACGGUUGCUAAUACUGGAUAUGAGCUUGCAAGGCAUCUUGUGGGUUGGAAAGAUUUUUUUUGGUUGGGGAUGGACUCGCGGCCUAUCAGCUUGUUGGUGAGGUAGUGGCUCACCAAGGCUUCGACGGGUAGCCGGCCUGAGAGGGCGACCGGCCGCAUUGGGACUGAGAUACGGCCCAAACUCCUACGGGAGGCAGCAAUGGGGAAUAUUGCACAAUGGACGGAAGUCUGAUGCAGCAACGCCGCGUGCGGGAUGACGGCCUUCGGGUUGUAAACCGCUUUCAAUUGUGACGAAGCUUUUUUGUGACGGUAGCAGUAGAAGAAGCACCGGCUAACUACGUG
rnacentral:rRNA from 1 species